UAUAUAUAUAUAUAUAUAUAUAUAUAUAUAUCUAGGUAGGAAGACUGAGAACAAUCACUGGAGGGAGCGCAGUGUGACUUGACUGACAAGGGGAUCACUUGUUGUCCAGAUCAGGGAACACUUACCUCAACGUUAUUCAGCACUCGAGGGGACUGAAAAAGGAGUUAUAAUGAAAAGAAAUGCAGAUUUGGCAGCUUCAAGACAUAAGGACUACGGGAAUGAUAACAUUAUACUUACAAAACGAUAAAGGUUGGCAACAGGAAGACCAUCUGGCCAUAGAAAAUCUGCUUCAACAAAUUCAACGUAACCUGUGCCAGCAUGGAAAGAUGAUGAUGGUAGAGUCAGUAAAAUAAGUAGCAGUUGAUCACUAGGGAUGAUGUAAUCGACUUAACCCUCCUCUGAAAUUGCUGGCCUUGUGGCAAAAUUUGAAACCAACAUCAGCCCUAUUUUCAGAAAUGAUGGAAUUGUACUGUUGUUGACAUAUAAACAAUUAACAAAUAAAUACAAUAGCACUUGAAGCAUGACAUGUAGAAAAGAUGAAAGAAAAUUAGAUACCUUACCUGCAAUGUAAACAGAACCAUCUGUUCCCAGUAACACAUUACCAGCCUUUAUGUCCCUGAAAUACAGAAUUUCUCACAAGUUAACAUCUUUCAUUUAAUUUUUCUCAACAGUUCUAAAUUGUAAAAUGCUACCACAUUUAAAUAUCUCAGAUGUGUUAUAGUUUUAACAUGCUCGUCAUUUUUCAGGCUAUUCACUUUAUCUUCAAGAGAUGAAACAAUUUCUCAUGUUCAUAGCUACACUAUGUUUUUUGAUUGUUGAUCAUCAUCAAAUGUCUUAUUCCUUAAAUAUGUAUUAAAGAUACA